UGGAUUUCCCAAGAUCCGUGAU
rnacentral:miRNA from 7 species